AAAGUUUCGUCCGUAAAGUAUUCCUACUUGUAUGAAACAGCAUGACCAAAAAGGUUACGCCUUUUAUUUUAUUAUUGAUAUAUUUGGCUCAACUAACAACUAACGCUUACAGAUUUUAUGGGCCAUAUGAUAUAUUUCAACCUAGAGAUGUUAGAUGGCAGAGAGUCAUUAAAAGCAAUGAUGACGGGAGUUCUGAACCAGCAUCAAUGCCAAAAAUAGCAGACCGUGAUGACUAUUUACGACAAUUGGUCAGAAUGUUAGAAGAUGCUGGCAAAAAAUAACAGAAAAGGAGAAACCAAGAAAUAGAAAUACUCAAGGAUUGUUCUGCAACUAAUAAUAUCCGGCAUUGUAUCCACAUCUGUAACUUCUAAAACAAGAUAUACCGAGUGAAUUAUUUGUUUAUUUUAAAGGGACAUAAUACUAAAAAUUUGUUACGAUAAAUUGUUCCUCGUUAUAGAUAUAUGUCAUUAUUGAUACCAUUAUAUAGCCUCAACUUCGCAAUGAUCGGUAAAUAUAGUCCCGAGACUGACAAAGCAUGAAAUUUUUCUUCCAUGUGUAAAGGAUAUGAAGUUUUAGUGAUGUUCACCUACAAGGUUAAAAGUGUCCUACUAUCAAAUAGUGUAUCAUAAUGGUGGAUCGUCUAUGUAUUAAAAUUAGAUUAUUCUCGUCGACUACUGAACUGAUUAAAUUCAUUAUUAUUUUUUCUAAAAUUUAAGUAUAAUUAUAAAGAAAUAAACAAAGAAAUCCACCAUGUUAUGUCCCUUUAAGACUUACAGCAUUAAAUAUACAGAGUGGCUAUUGUUACGACGAGUCUGGGCCAAGUUAAGAACGAAUUCCAAAAUGGCUGCCAAUCUCCCCAACAUCAGCUUUGAAAAAGGAGCAGUAUUUUCAACGUUUUCAGAACUGAGGGCAGCAAUUAAGAGAUGGGAAGGGUUAGGGUUCUGGUUAUGACUAUUUUUACGACUAUUCAGUUUUAACUUCGCCGAUGGAGGGCUGUGAAAGCAUCGUCGUAACAAUAGCCUGAGGACUAUUUUUACGACUCGUCGCAACAAUAGCCACUGCCUUAAAUAUAUUUGAGGGUUUAGGCCCCUGGCUUGUAUAAAAUAAAAUAUUGAAAAUGAGUAUAUCUGUUUGCACACUGUGCUGUUCCUUCGCAAAAUAUUUAAUAAAA